rnacentral:rRNA from 1 species
GAUGAACGCUAGCUACAGGCUUAACACAUGCAAGUCGAGGGGCAGCAUUAUCGAAGCUUGCUUUGAUAGAUGGCGACCGGCGCACGGGUGAGUAACGCGUAUCCAACCUUCCCCAUAGUCAGGAAUAGCCCGGCGAAAGUCGAAUUAAUGCCUGAUGUUUUCCACGGACGGCAUCCGAUGUGGAACAAAGAUUGAUCGCUAUGGGAUGGGGAUGCGUCUGAUUAGCUUGUUGGCGGGGUAAACGGCCCACCAAGGCAACGAUCAGUAGGGGUUCUGAGAGGAAGUCCCCCACAUUGGAACUGAGACACGGUCCAAACUCCUACGGGAGGCAGCAGUGA